GUAGGUGGCAAGCGUUGUCCGGAAUUAUUGGGCGUAAAGCGCGCGCAGGCGGUUCUUUAAGUCUGAUGUGAAAGCCCACGGCUCAACCGUGGAGGGUCAUUGGAAACUGGAGAACUUGAGUACAGAAGAGGAAAGCGGAAUUCCACGUGUAGCGGUGAAAUGCGUAGAGAUGUGGAGGAACACCAGUGGCGAAGGCGGCUUUCUGGUCUGUAACUGACGCUGAGGCGCGAAAGCGUGGGGAGCAAACAGGGAUUAGAUACCCUGGUAGUCCGCGCCGUAAACGAUGAGUGCUAAGUGUUAGGGGGUUUCCGCCCCCUUAGUGCUGCAGCUAACGCAUUAAGCACUCCGCCUGGGGAUACGGCCGCAAGGCUG
rnacentral:rRNA from 1 species